rnacentral:rRNA from 1 species
UACGGAGGGUGCAAGCGUUGUUCGGAUUGAUUGGGCGUAAAGCGCAUGUAGGCGGGUUUGUAAGUCGGAUGUGAAAGCCCUGGGCUUAACCUGGGAACUGCAUCCGAAACUGCGAAUCUUGAAUGCUCGAGGGGUUGGUGGAAUUCCUGGUGUAGGAGUGAAAUCCGUAGAUAUCAGGAGGAACACCGGAGGCGAAGGCGGCCAACUGGCGAUGCAUUGACGCUGAGGUGCGAAAGCGUGGGGAGCAAACAGG